rnacentral:lncRNA from 10 species
UUACAAAGAAAAGGGGAGUAUUUGUAUUAUCCAGUUAAUUCCACGUAUAAAUAGACAUGUAUUUAUUUAUUCAUUCACUUAUUCGUUCAACAAAUCAACAGAUAUUUGUUAUACCUUUUCCUGUGCCAGGCGUUGCACCGUACCAAAGUCUAAUGAGAUAAUUCACUCUGGAGGCAAUAGCAUGCAAUGGAAUAAGAGCCAGAGAUCCAAGGAGGCACCUGGUAGAGUCACUGCCUGGAAAGAAGUGCCACUGUGGCCUUACCCAAAAGAGACGCCUUGGCCUGACGAGCAGAAACCCUGAAGAAUGGUCCGUGGCUCCCUGGGACUGCUCUGCGUCCAGCUACAAGUUCCUGCAGUAAAAGCCAUGGUCCUUCCAACAUGAUGGCCACUGGCUGGAAUCUUUUCUCAACCUUUGUCUGAUGAUCUCUUCACUGUAGAAUCACUGGGGUUUAUGUUCAGCUACGUACAACAGUGAUUCUCAAAGAACUGUGGCUUAAACAAGACAGACAUCUGUAUCUCUUUUAUGUCAGGCGGGAAUCUAGGGUCCCUGUGGUGUCUUUAGAAUGUCAUCUGGAUGUGUCUUUCUUCUCUGCCACCCUCGGACAUGCCUUUCAUCUUCAAGAUCCCGUCAUGGUCCAAAGGACUUUGGAGCCAUCAGUAGGAAGAAGUGGGAACCACAAAGCGAUGCUUCUCCCAACCAAAGCUGCUGUCUUUAAGCAGUUUCCGGAAGCCAAGAGUGUUUCCACUUACAUUUUAUUGGCCAGAACUUAGUCACGUGGUCAUCUCCCACUGUAAGGGAAGCUGGAAAAUGUAACGUUUUAUUGGGGCAGUAAUGUGCUUCCUUAAAAACUGGAAUUCUAUUAUUAACAAAGAAGGAGGAAAUGGAAAUCAGGAGGCAACUCGGAGGUUUCAAGUUCAAUGUCACUCUCCCCCAUCUAAAGUGUGAUCUCAAUCUUCCCUAAUAUUUGCUCUCUUAGAACACUAUUCAUUUCCUUUAUGGAAUUUUCAUAAUUUAUAACUUAUGUCUAACUGUUAAAAUUUGUCUUCAAAGCUGGAUGGUAAGUUCUCCGAGGCGAAACACUGAGUCUUUGUUAUCCCACGCCAUAUAACCUAGGUCCAACAA